CACGUAGGGGGCAAGCGUUGUCCGGAUUUAUUGGGCGUAAAGAGCUCGUAGGUGGUUCGGUAAGUCGGGUGUGAAACCUCCAGGCUCAACCUGGAGACGCCACCCGAUACUGCUGUGACUGGAGUCCGGUAGGGGAGCGUGGAAUUCCUGGUGUAGCGGUGAAAUGCGCAGAUAUCAGGAGGAACACCAGCGGCGAAGGCGGCGAUCUGGCCCAACAUUGACACUGAGACCCGAAAGCCAGGGGAGCAAACGGG
rnacentral:rRNA from 1 species